UACGUAGGUGGCAAGCGUUGUCCGGAAUUAUUGGGCGUAAAGCGCGCGCAGGCGGUCCUUUAAGUCUGAUGUGAAAGCCCACGGCUCAACCGUGGAGGGUCAUUGGAAACUGGGGGACUUGAGUGCAGAAGAGGAGAGUGGAAUUCCACGUGUAGCGGUGAAAUGCGUAGAGAUGUUGAGGAACACCAGUGGCGAAGGCGACUCUCUGGUCUGUAACUGACGCUGAGGCGCGAAAGCGUGGGGAGCGAACAGG
rnacentral:rRNA from 1 species